AUUGAACGCUGGCGGCAUGCCUUACACAUGCAAGUCGAACGGCAGCAUGAUCUAGCUUGCUAGAUUGAUGGCGAGUGGCGAACGGGUGAGUAAUACAUCGGAACGUGCCCUGUAGUGGGGGAUAACUAGUCGAAAGAUUAGCUAAUACCGCAUACGACCUGAGGGUGAAAGUGGGGGACCGCAAGGCCUCAUGCUAUAGGAGCGGCCGAUGUCUGAUUAGCUAGUUGGUGGGGUAAAGGCCCACCAAGGCGACGAUCAGUAGCUGGUCUGAGAGGACGAUCAGCCACACUGGGACUGAGACACGGCCCAGACUCCUACGGGAGGCAGCAGUGGGGAAUUUUGGACAAUGGGCGAAAGCCUGAUCCAGCAAUGCCGCGUGUGUGAAGAAGGCCUUCGGGUUGUAAAGCACUUUUGUCCGGAAAGAAAUGGCUCUGGUUAAUACCUGGGGUCGAUGACGGUACCGGAAGAAUAAGGACCGGCUAACUACGUGCCAGCAGCCGCGGUAAUACGUAGGGUCCAAGCGUUAAUCGGAAUUACUGGGCGUAAAGCGUGCGCAGGCGGUUGUGCAAGACCGAUGUGAAAUCCCCGAGCUUAACUUGGGAAUUGCAUUGGUGACUGCACGGCUAGAGUGUGUCAGAGGGGGGUAGAAUUCCACGUGUAGCAGUGAAAUGCGUAGAGAUGUGGAGGAAUACCGAUGGCGAAGGCAGCCCCCUGGGAUAACACUGACGCUCAUGCACGAAAGCGUGGGGAGCAAACAGGAUUAGAUACCCUGGUAGUCCACGCCCUAAACGAUGUCAACUAGUUGUUGGGGAUUCAUUUCCUUAGUAACGUAGCUAACGCGUGAAGUUGACCGCCUGGGGAGUACGGUCGCAAGAUUAAAACUCAAAGGAAUUGACGGGGACCCGCACAAGCGGUGGAUGAUGUGGAUUAAUUCGAUGCAACGCGAAAAACCUUACCUACCCUUGACAUGCCACUAACGAAGCAGAGAUGCAUUAGGUGCUCGAAAGAGAAAGUGGACACAGGUGCUGCAUGGCUGUCGUCAGCUCGUGUCGUGAGAUAUUGGGUUAAGUCCCGCAACGAGCGCAACCCUUGUCUCUAGUUGCUACGAAAGGGCACUCUAGAGAGACUGCCGGUGACAAACCGGAGGAAGGUGGGGAUGACGUCAAGUCCUCAUGGCCCUUAUGGGUAGGGCUUCACACGUCAUACAAUGGUGCAUACAGAGGGUUGCCAAGCCGCGAGGUGGAGCUAAUCCCAGAAAAUGCAUCGUAGUCCGGAUCGUAGUCUGCAACUCGACUACGUGAAGCUGGAAUCGCUAGUAAUCGCGGAUCAGCAUGCCGCGGUGAAUACGUUCCCGGGUCU
rnacentral:rRNA from 1 species